rnacentral:tRNA from 1 species
GGUCCGCUGGCGUAAUGGCAGCGCGUCUGAAUACGAAUCAGGAGGUUCCAGGUUUGACCCCUGGGCGGAUCG